UACGUAGGGUGCAAGCGUUGUCCGGAAUUAUUGGGCGUAAAGAGCUCGUAGGCGGUUUGUCGCGUCUGCUGUGAAAACCUAAGGCUCAACCUUGGGCUUGCAGUGGGGUACGGGCAGACUAGAGUGCGGUAGGGGUGACUGGAAUUCCUGGUGUAGCGGUGGAAUGCGCAGAUAUCAGGAGGAACACCGAUGGCGAAGGCAGGUCACUGGGC
rnacentral:rRNA from 1 species